AACGAUCCACCGCUGCCUUGGCGGCGCGGAUGGUGUUCUUGCGGCGGCCGUAGAAGCCCUUGGCGGCCUUGAGCGUCUUCUUGU
rnacentral:sRNA from 1 species